GUUGAAAGCAUUUUGAAAAGUUCACCGAUGAAAAUGGAGCUAGUAAAGCCAAAUGCAAGUAUUGUGCAAAAGUUUAUGCAGCUUCUACAUCAUCUAAUGUUGCAGCUUGUAAGUUCAACUAUCAACUAGUGAUGUGCAGUAACGAGUCCAUCAAUGUUUUGUCAUUUUCUUGGUUGCUAUCUGCUAGAACUUGGGAGCUAUUGCAAUGGAGGUUGCAAGUUGCAGCGAUGUUUUGUUGGUUUUCUAAAUCUCUUUAUUGCUGGAAGUUGCAAUGAUCUAGAUAAUGAUGACUUUAGUUUGUAACUAACUCUAUUUUAGUGAUGGAUACAAAUUUGU
rnacentral:misc_RNA from 1 species